GCCAACGACCAUACCACGUUGAAUACACCAGUUCUCGUCCGAUCACUGAAGUUAAGCAACGUCGGGCGUAGUUAGUACUUGGAUGGGUGACCGCUUGGGAACACUACGUGCCGUUGGUA
rnacentral:rRNA from 1 species